CGGAUGAUCUCUCUCCUCUGUUGAGUUUCAGAACUUCUCUGUGGAGAUCGAUGGCCACAUCCACUCGAAAUAAACCACAUGUAAAUGUGGGAACAAUUGGGCAUGUAGAACAUGGGAAGACUACUUUAACUGCUGCAAUCACAAAGGUUCUUGCUGAAGAGGGAAAAGCUAAAGCUAUUGCCUUUGAUGAAAUUGAUAAAGCUCUCCAAGCCAAUGUUUUUGCUCUAGUCUGAUUCGGAUGGUCAAUCUAUGUUAAGAUUUGAUCUCGGCAUGAUCUUAAUCGCAACCGAUGAGUUCUCAGCGGGAAAUAAACUUGGACAAGGUGAAUUUGGAUCUGUCUACAAGGGGAUUUUACCGAGCGGACAAGAGAUAGCGGUAAAGAGAUUAGCUGGAGGGUCAGGACAAGGAG